AUGCUUAACACAUGCAAGUCGAACGGUAACAGGUGUAGCAAUACAUGCUGACGAGCGGCGAACGGGUGAGUAAUGCUUCGGAAUCUACCCUAUGGUGGGGAAUAACCAGCCGAAAGGUUGGCUAAUACCGCAUAAGUCCUACGGGAGAAAGCAGGGGAUCGUAAGACCUUGCGCCGAUGGAUGAGCCGAAGUCGGAUUAGCUAGUUGGUGAGGUAACGGCUCACCAAGGCGACGAUCCGUAGCUGGUCUGAGAGGACGACCAGCCACACUGGGACUGAGACACGGCCCAGACUCCUACGGGAGGCAGCAGUGGGGAAUAUUGGACAAUGGGCGCAAGCCUGAUCCAGCCACGCCGCGUGAGUGAUGAAGGCCUUCGGGUCGUAAAGCUCUGUGGGGAGGGACGAACCGCUGCACGUUCAUAUCGUGCAGCAUGACGGUACCUCCUUAGCAAGCACCGGCUAACUUCGUGCCAGCAGCCGCGGUAAUACGAAGGGUGCAAACGUUGCUCGGAAUCAUUGGGCGUAAAGCGUGUGUAGGCGGCUUGUUAAGUCGGGUGUGAAAGCCCUGGGCUCAACCCAGGAAGUGCACACGAAACUGGCGAGCUUGAGUACGGGAGAGGGUCGCGGAAUUCCCGGUGUAGAGGUGAAAUUCGUAGAUAUCGGAAGGAACACCAGUGG
rnacentral:rRNA from 1 species